CUGAAAAGUGUAAAGGAUUAUAAGAAAACACUAACGCGUACGACAAAGUUUCCUUUCUGUCUGAUGAUCACUUGCUGCUGCUGGAGUUCUGCAAACAUCAGAGAAUCAUGAUCUAUAAGGUAGUGGUCAAGUCAACUGAGGGGCAUGAGAUAACCAUUGACCUCUGCGACACAGAGGAGCAGAUGCAGAGAAUAACAGUGGGUCAGCUGACGGAAAAGAUAGUGGAGAGACUCCCUUACACAGAGGAUGAAUGUAGAUUGAUAUUUGUAGGCAGGCAGUUGGAACUCACAAAACUGCUGUCUGAAUAUGGAAUCCAAAACCAUUCUUGCAUACACUUGGUUCGUAGACUACGUUGUGGAUGUCAUCCACCAUCUUCAACGGAUGAUGGUCUGGGUGAUAAGGAGGGUGAAACUCGAAGAAGUAAGGAAUAUCUGGCUGAUUUUUAAUACUCAAAGAGACAAUUUUCUUUACCCCCAAAGUGCUUGUUUCUACAGUAAAGUAUCUGAAACAUCAACUGGAACCACAUCCCUCCUCAGCUUCAUCUAAAGUCAUUUUAAAAUCUAAAAUAUUCUCACAACAAUUUCAAUUUAAAUACAAAGGAGAUUUUAAGGAAUCAUAGAAACCUAUGCAGUAACCCUUUAAGAG